UUUAGAUAGAUUAAAAAAAAUCAUAUCAUUGAAGAUGAUAAAUUAACUACUGUUUCUAAAUA
rnacentral:tRNA from 1 species